GUGCUAUUUCUUAAGCUGUUAAUUAAAUGUAUACCCUGUUGUAGAGAAACUCAGACCAAUAGAUAAUUUCACUUUAUUAGUAAAUCUAGGGUUAUUUAAACCUAAAUUACUUGUUGUUUUGAACAGUAAUUGCAUAAAGUAACCAUAUAAAAACAUGAUAUUCUCUGCUUUUUAUCAUAAAGAAAAGGGGGCCAAAGGACAAAAGAAAACAAGGGAAAAAAACACAUGAAAAAAAAUCAUGGAAAAGUAUGAUUGUACCUCAAGAACCUUUUAUAUUUUAUCUAUCCAUUGGGUUUGUAUUUGAUCAUACUUUAACAUAA
rnacentral:lncRNA from 1 species